rnacentral:rRNA from 1 species
CAGUAGCCGCGGUAAUACGUAGGUGGCAAGCGUUGUCCGGAAUUAUUGGGCGUAAAGGGCUCGCAGGCGGUUUCUUAAGUCUGAUGUGAAAGCCCCCGGCUCAACCGGGGAGGGUCAUUGGAAACUGGGAAACUUGAGUGCAGAUGAGGAGAGUGGAAUUCCACGUGUAGCGGUGAAAUGCGUAGAGAUGUGGAGGAACACCAGUGGCGAAGGCGACUCUCUGGUCUGUAACUGACGCUGAGGAGCGAAAGCGUGGGGAGCGAACAGGAUUAGAUACCCCUGUAGUCCCUGUCUCUUAUAC